UGGCCAGAGGUGUCAGUCUUCAGCCGUCACCAAACAACACCUGUCUACCUUCUACUGCUAUUGAGUUUCAGCACACUACCUGCUUCAGGGGAAAAUGUUUCUAAGACUGUUCCAACACUACUUCCAACCCCUGCUGCUGCUGCUGUAUCUUCAACCCUCUGCACAAAGUGGUGAAGUAUACACAGAGUCACAGAAGAGCACAACAACGGGACCAUCUGUUAACUACGUCAUUAGUUCCAUCUUCGGGAACUUCUUCGUGAAGAACAACUUGAGUUUAAAGGACGAAGACGUCUUCACAAAGGUCCUCGCCAAGUCCCUGUGCGAGUGUCGUACAGCGUGUUGGGCGACCAAUGUGUGCCAGGCGGCGGCAUUGGUGCCAGUAGAGGACCACAAGGAGUGCCAUCUGGCUAAAGAGGGGCCACACAAAACCACCACCCAGUACCUGCAGGGAGCCAUCUAUCUCUUCAAGGAGGAUUCCCUCCCGGGGCAUUAUCACGGACUGAUGAAGGACAAUUUGACGUACUACGAGCCUCCGGAGAUGAUGGAGCUGGAGGAAGGCAAAAAGUGGUGUAACAGGAUCCCCGGACACCGCCUCGUCAUCAUCAAGACCAAUGACCAACUCAAAACUCUGCAGGAAAUCUCUCUGAAGACCCUAGGCGACACCCCUACCCCCAAGCUCAUAUGGAUGAACCUGAAGAAGCCGCUGCAGUCUAACGAGAAGAUAUGGGGUGACGGGACCCUGGUAAAGAUAACUGAGGUGUGGCCGUCCCUCGUGUUUGGUGAUGCUUUACAGACAAACGUAGAUGAUGUGGAGGAGUUCUUCAAGUUCGACGAGAACACCUUCAAAAGUAGUUCACCUUCUACACAGAUGAGGAUCCUGUGUCAGGCUAACCCAGUGGGGGUAUACUGGUAAACCUAACACUCUAGAUUGGUGAAUAAUGUAAACCUAACACUCUAGAUUGGUGAAUAAUGUAAACCUAACACUCUAGAUUGGUGAAUAAUGUAAACCUAACACUCUAGAUUGGUGAAUAAUGUAAACCUAACACUCUAGAUUGGUGAAUAAUGUAAACCUAACACUCUAGAUUGGUGAAUAAUGUAAACCUAAUACUCUAGAUUGGUGAAUAAUGUAAACCUAACACUCUUGAUUGGUGAAUAAUGUAAACCUCACACUCUAGAUUGGUGAAUAAUAGAAACCUAACACUCUAGAUUGGUAAAUAAUGUAAACCUCACACUCUAGAUUGGUGAAUAAUGUAAACCUAACACUCUAGAUUGGUGAAUAAUGUAAACCUAACACUCUAGAUUGGUGAAUAAUGUAAACCUAACACUCUAGAUUGGUGAAUAAUGUAAACCUAACACUCUAGCUUGGUGAAUAAUGUAAACCCCACACUCUAGACUGGUGAAUAAUGUAAACCCCACACUCUAGACUGGUGAAUAAUGUAAACCCCACACUCUAGACUGGUGAAUAAUGUAAACCUAACACUCUAGACUGGUGAAUAAUGUAAACCCCACACUCUAGACUGGUGAAUAAUGUAAACCUCACACUCUACACUGGUGUAUAAUGUAAACCCCACACUCUACACUGGUGAAUAAUGUAAACCCCACACUCUACACUGGUGAAUAAUGUAAACCCCACACUCUAGACUGGUUAAUAAUGUAAACCUAACACUCUAGACUGGUGAAUAAUGUAAACCUAACACUCUAGACUGAUGAAUAAUGUAAACCCCACACUCUACACUGGUGAAUAAUGUAAACCCCACACUCUACACUGGUGAAUAAUGUAAACCCCACACUCUAGACUGGUGAAUAAUGUAAACUUAACACUCUAGACUGGUGAAUAAUGUAAAUCUAACACUCUAGACUGGUGAAUAAUGUAAGCCUAACACUCUAGACUGAUGAAUAAUGUAAACCCCACACUCUAGACUGGUGAAUAAUGUAAACCUAACACUCUAGACCG